rnacentral:rRNA from 1 species
CCUACGGGAGGCAGCAGUAGGGAAUCUUCCACAAUGGGCGAAAGCCUGAUGGAGCAACGCCGCGUGGGUGAAGAAGGUCUUCGGAUCGUAAAACCCUGUUGUUAGAGAAGAAAGUGCGUGAGAGUAACUGUUCACGUUUCGACGGUAUCUAACCAGAAAGCCACGGCUAACUACGGGCCAGCAGCCGCGGUAAUACGUAGGUGGCAAGCGUUAUCCGGAUUUAUUGGGCGUAAAGGGAGCGCAGGCGGUCUUUUAAGUCUGAUGUGAAAGCCUUCGGCUAAACCGGAGUAGUGCAUUGGAAACUGGGAGACGUGAGUGCAGAAGAGGAGAGUGGAACUCCAUGUGUAGCGGUGAAAUGCGUAGAUAUAUGGAAGAACACCAGUGGCGAAAGCGGCUCUCUGGUCUGUAACUGACGCUGAGGUUCGAAAGCGUGGGUAGCAAACAGGAUUAGAUACCCUGGUAGUC